rnacentral:rRNA from 1 species
GAAGUGCGAAUGCUGACAUAAGUAACGAUAAAGCGGGUGAAAAGCCCGCUCGCCGGAAGACCAAGGGUUCCUGUCCAACGUUAAUCGGGGCAGGGUGAGUCGACCCCUAAGGCGAGGCCGAAAGGCGUAGUCGAUGGGAAACAGGUUAAUAUUCCUGUACUUGGUGUUACUGCGAAGGGGGGACGGAGAAGGCUAUGUUGGCCGGGCGACGGUUGUCCCGGUUUAAGCGUGUAGGCUGGUUUUCCAGGCAAAUCCGGAAAAUCAAGGCUGAGGCGUGAUGACGAGGCACUACGGUGCUGAAGCGACAAAUGCCCUGCUUCCAGGAAAAGCCUCUAAGCAUCAGGUAACAUCAAAUCGUACCCCAAACCGACACAGGUGGUCAGGUAGAGAAUACCAAGGCGCUUGAGAGAACUCGGGUGAAGGAACUAGGCAAAAUGGUGCCGUAACUUCGGGAGAAGGCACGCUGAUAUGUAGGUGAAGCGACUUGCUCGUGGAGCUGAAAUCAGUCGAAGAUACCAGCUGGCUGCAACUGUUUAUUAAAAACACAGCACUGUGCAAACACGAAAGUGGACGUAUACGGUGUGACGCCUGCCCGGUGCCGGAAGGUUAAUUGAUGGGGUUAGCGGUAACGCGAAGCUCUUGAUCGAAGCCCCGGUAAACGGCGGCCGUAACUAUAACGGUCCUAAGGUAGCGAAAUUCCUUGUCGGGUAAGUUCCGACCUGCACGAAUGGCGUAAUGAUGGCCAGGCUGUCUCCACCCGAGACUCAGUGAAAUUGAACUCGCUGUGAAGAUGCAGUGUACCCGCGGCAAGACGGAAAGACCCCGUGAACCUUUACUAUAGCUUGACACUGAACAUUGAGCCUUGAUGUGUAGGAUAGGUGGGAGGCUUUGAAGUGUGGACGCCAGUCUGCAUGGAGCCGACCUUGAAAUACCACCCUUUAAUGUUUGAUGUUCUAACGUGGGCCCCUUACCGGGGUUGCGGACAGUGUCUGGUGGGUAGUUUGACUGGGGCGGUCUCCUCCUAAAGAGUAACGGAGGAGCACGAAGGUUGGCUAAUCCUGGUCGGACAUCAGGAGGUUAGUGCAAUGGCAUAAGCCAGCUUGACUGCGAGCGUGACGGCGCGAGCAGGUGCGAAAGCAGGUCAUAGUGAUCCGGUGGUUCUGAAUGGAAGGGCCAUCGCUCAACGGAUAAAAGGUACUCCGGGGAUAACAGGCUGAUACCGCCCAAGAGUUCAUAUCGACGGCGGUGUUUGGCACCUCGAUGUCGGCUCAUCACAUCCUGGGGCUGAAGUAGGUCCCAAGGGUAUGGCUGUUCGCCAUUUAAAGUGGUACGCGAGCUGGGUUUAGAACGUCGUGAGACAGUUCGGUCCCUAUCUGCCGUGGGCGCUGGAGAACUGAGGGGGGCUGCUCCUAGUACGAGAGGACCGGAGUGGACGCAUCACUGGUGUUCGGGUUGUCAUGCCAAUGGCACUGCCCGGUAGCUAAAUGCGGAAGAGAUAAGUGCUGAAAGCAUCUAAGCACGAAACUUGCCCCGAGAUGAGUUCUCCCUGACUCCUUGAGAGUCCUGAAGGAACGUUGAAGACGACGACGUUGAUAGGCCGGGUGUGUAAGCGCAGCGAUGCGUUGAGCUAACCGGUACUAAUGAACCGUGAGGCUUAACCUU